AGAGUUUGAUCCUGGCUCAGAACGAACGCUGGCGGCGUGCUUAACACAUGCAAGUCAGGGAGAAAGUCUCUUCGGGGAUGAUUAAACCGGCGCACGGGUGAGUAACACGUGAGUGACCUGCCUUUUAGACUGGAACAACUUACCGAAAGGUGAGCUAAUGCCGGAUGAGUUAUAUAAGUGCAUGUUUAUAUAGGAAAAGUUGGGGAGACCUGACGCUGAAAGAUGGACUCGCGUCCCAUUAGCUAGUUGGUAGGGUAAUGGCCUACCAAGGCGACGAUGGGUAGCCGGCCUGAGAGGGUGGCCGGCCACACUGGGACUGAGACACGGCCCAGACUCCUACGGGAGGCAGCAGUGGGGAAUUUUGCGCAAUGCUCGUAAGAGUGACGCAGCGACGCCGCGUGAAUGACGAAGGCCUUCGGGUCGUAAAGUUCUUUCGACAGGGAAGAAAAUGCCUAUAAGUAACUGUGUAUGUAUUGACGGUACCUGUAUAAGCAGCCCCGGCUAACUCCGUGCCAGCAGCCGCGGUAAUACGGAGGGGGCGAGCGUUGUUCGGAGUGACUGGGCGUAAAGAGCACGUAGGCGGUGUU
rnacentral:rRNA from 1 species